UACGGAGGGUGCAAGCGUUAUCCGGAUUCACUAGGUUUAAAGGGUGCGUAGGCGGGUUGGUAAGUCCGUGGUGAAAUCCCCAAGCUUAACUUGGGAACUGCCGUGGAUACUAUCAAUCUUGAAUAUCGUGGAGGUAAGCGGAAUAUGUCAUGUAGCGGUGAAAUGCUUAGAUAUGACAUAGAACACCAAUUGCGUAGGCAGCUUACUACACGAUCAUUGACGCUGAGGCACGAAAGCGUGGGGAGCAAACAGG
rnacentral:rRNA from 1 species